rnacentral:tRNA from 1 species
CAAAAAGUAGUUUAAAUAAAACAAUAAUUUUGGGAAUUAUAAAUAUUUUAUAAUAAUUUUUUUGA